rnacentral:rRNA from 1 species
AACGAACAUUGGCGGUAGGCUUAACACAUGCAAGUCGAGCGGGGCGUAAUAGUCGAGCGGCGAACGGGUGCGUAAUACAUGGGAAUCUGCCUGGUAGUGGGGGACAACGUUUCGAAAGGAACGCUAAUACCGCAUACGCCCUACGGGGGAAAGGGGGGGAUCUUCGGACCUCUCGCUAUCAGAUGAGCCCAUGUCGGAUU